rnacentral:miRNA from 1 species
CAAUGUUGGAUGAGAUUCCAAGU